rnacentral:rRNA from 1 species
UACAGAGGUCCCGAGCGUUGUUCGGAUUCACUGGGCGUAAAGGGUGCGUAGGUGGUUAGGUAAGUCCGAUGUGAAAUCUCCAGGCUCAACCUGGAAAUGGCAUUGGAUACUAUUUAGCUUGAGGAGUGGAGGGGGGACUGGAAUUCUCGGUGUAGCAGUGAAAUGCGUAGAUAUCGAGAGGAACACCAGUGGCGAAGGCGGCUCUCUGGACCGAGACUGACGCUGAGGCGCGAAAGCGUGGGGAGCAAACAGG